UUUUAUCUUCAUAUCAAUGAUCAUCUACUGGCAAGCGAACAGUCAUCGCCGCGUAACAGUUAUCGCAAAUACAUCAGUAUCACACGUGCGCAGUCCCGGUCAAUUAC